AUGGAGGCUGAGAAGUCCCAUGAUCUGCUGUCUGUAGGCUAGAGACCCAGGAGAACUCACGGUAUAAUUCCAAUACAAGCCUGAAAGACCCGAGAAUCAGGAGAGCUGAUGAUGUAAGUUUCAGUCCAGGUGCAGGAGGAAAGACCAAUGACCCAGCUUGAAAACGGUCAGCUGACCUGUCCUAGGGUCCUCCUCCAUCUGUCUGUGCAUCUUUCCGCCAAGAUGGAUUCCAGCGUCGGGGCCUGUGGGAGGCUUGACAUCACCUAUUAUGGGGUGGCACCCCUCCCUUUCUGACCCCCAAGGAGCCUUCCUGACCAUGUGCAGCUAGGGAAGUUUUCCUUGACCUCCGUGGUGGUCAUCUUAUCUCUUUACUUCAGCAGAGCUCAGCUCUUGCCACUAACUUUGUCCCUGGAGUGUCUAGGGAAAACAAAGCUUCAAUUUUACUCCGUUUGACAAACACCAGCUGUCCAGCCCAGGGGUCCAUCUACCUCCUACCUCCGUUAGACUGAGGAUUGCAAGUCCUUGCUGGCUAGUGACUGGAGGCUGUCUCGGGUACCAUCCAUACUCGAGAGAAGGGGAUUACUCACAGGUGUGACUACCAAGAGAUGGAGAACAGAGGUGACCAUCUCAGAGUCUGCCUGGCAUAGGGAGUGGAUUGGCUGGAGCAUUGUCUGAACUAGAGUUCAGGAUAUGAGACAGCAGGCAGGCAGUCCUCAGCCCUCAGCUCCGGGGCGUCCAG